rfam:Oryza rufipogon genomic scaffold, chr08
CGUCAAUGCAAACCGUUGUUCCUGUGUCAACGUUGACUGUUCGUUUUAUAUAAAAAUUUUUAUAAUUAGUAUUUUCAUUAUUGUUAGAUGAUAAAACAUGAUUAAUACUUUAUGCGUGACUUAUCUUUUUAAUUUUUUAAAUAAGACGAACGGUCAAACGUUGGACACGGAAAUCAGGGUUUGUCUUUUU